rnacentral:tRNA from 1 species
GGUACCUUGGAUGAGCGGUUUAGUCCCCGGUCUGCAAAACCGGUCAGUGCGGUUCGACUCCGCAAGGUACCU